UGGCUCAGGACGAACGCUGGCGGCGUGCCUAAUACAUGCAAGUCGAACGGUCUUUCUAUGGAAGCUUGCUUCCACUGAGAAGAUAGUGGCAAACGGGUGAGUAACACGUGGGUAACCUGCCCAUAAGAGGGGGGAUAACAUCCGGAAACGGGUGCUAAUACCGCAUAGUUUUCUUGAUCGCAUGAUCGGGAAAGGAAAGACGGCCUUUGUGCUGUCGCUUAUGGAUGGACCCGCGGCGUAUUAGUUAGUUGGUGAGGUAACGGCUCACCAAGACGAUGAUACGUAGCCGACCUGAGAGGGUGAUCGGCCACAUUGGGACUGAGACACGGCCCAAACUCCUACGGGAGGCAGCAGUAGGGAAUCUUCCGCAAUGGACGAAAGUCUGACGGAGCAACGCCGCGUGAGUGAAGAAAAGGUUUUCGGAUCGUAAAACUCUGUUGUCAGAGAAGAACAAGUUGGAGAGUAACUGCUCCAGCCUUGACGGUAUCUGACCAGAAAGCCACGGCUAACUACGUGCCAGCCGCUGC
rnacentral:rRNA from 1 species